UACGUAGGCAGCGAGCGUUGUUCGGAGUUACUGGGCGUAAAGGGUGUGUAGGCGGUUUUCUAAGUUUGGUGUGAAAUCUCCCGGCUCAACCGGGAGGGUGCGCCGAAAACUGGGAGACUAGAGUGCGGGAUGGGAGAGUAGAAUUCCUGGUGUAGCGGUGAAAUGCGUAGAUAUCAGGAAGAACACCCGUGGCGAAGGCGGCUCUCUGGGACGGUACUGACGCUGAGACGCGAAAGCGUGGGGAGCAAACAGG
rnacentral:rRNA from 1 species